AGUAGCGGUGAAAUGCGUAGAUAUCUGGAGGAAUACCAAAGGCGAAGGCAGUCCCCUGGUCCGAUACUGACACUGAGGUACGAAAGCGUGGGGAGCAAACGGGAUUAGAUACCCUGGUAGUCCACGCCCUAAACGAUGUCGAUUAGCCAUUGGAAGGACCCCUUUUCCUUUCAGUGACGUAGCUAACGCGUUAAAUCGACCGCCUGGGAAGUACGACCGCAAGGUUAAAACUCAAAGGAAUUGACGGGGACCUGAACAAGCGGUGAAUGAUGUGGAUUAAUUCGAUGCUACGCGAAGAACCUUACCUACCUUUGACAUGGCCAAAGUUCUACCGAGAGGCGGAAGUACUCGUAAGAGGAUUGGCGCACAGGUGCUGCAUGGUUGUCGUCAGUUCGUGUCGUGAGAUGUUGGGUUCAGUCCCGCAACGAACGCAACCCUUAUCUUUAAUUGCUCCUAUUUUAACAGGCACUUUAAAGAAACUGCCAAUGAUAAGUUGGAGGAAGGUGGGGAUCACGUCAAGUCCGCAUGGCCUUUAUAGGUAGGGCUUCACACGUCAUACAAUGGUUAGAACAAAGAGCUGCAAAUUCGUAAGAAGGAGCCAAUCUCACAAACCUAACCUCAGUUCGAAUUGCGGUCUGCAACUCGAGCGCAUGAAGCCGGAAUCGCUAGUAAUCGUGGAUCAGAAUGCCA
rnacentral:rRNA from 1 species